GUGUCAGCAGCCGCGGUAAAACGUAGGUGGCAAGCGUUAUCCGGAAUUACUGGGCGUAAAGGGUGUGCAGGCGGGGGAACAAGUGGUGUAUGAAAUCGCUCGGCUUAACCGGGCGCGGUUAUGCCAGACUGUUCUUCUAGAGGACGAGAGAGGGGGGUGGAAUUCCGGGUGUAGUGGUGAAAUGCGUAGAGAUCCGGAGGAACCCCAGAGGCGAAGGCGGCCCCCUGGCUCGUACCUGACGCUCAGCCACGACAGCAUGGGGAGCGAACGGGAUUAGAAACCCCCGUAGUCC
rnacentral:rRNA from 1 species